ACCUGCAGAAGUUCACACUUAAAUCCUACACGAGAGUCGUAUUUAUGAUGCAGAACUCGGUGCAGAACCCGAUGGAGUGCCCAAGGCGCUUGAGCCGUUCCUAGAAGGGGAAGGAGAGCCGCGGGCGGCAGCGGGGCAGGGGACGGAAUUGGGAAGCUUGGGAGCAGGAAGAAGGCCAGAGCUACUUAGGAUGGAGAAACGGAGGCCCAGGGAAGGGAUGUGCCCGAGGUCAUACAAAGAAGUUUGUGGGAAUCCAGGCCAUGCGCGGUGGCUCACGCUUGUAAUCCCAGCACUUU
rnacentral:lncRNA from 1 species